GGUCCCGCCUGCCCUGUGACCACAAAGUUUAACGGCCGCGGUAUCCUGACCGUGCGAAGGUAGCGUAAUCAUUUGUCUUUUAAAUAGAGACCUGUAUGAAUGGCAUAACGAGGGUUUAACUGUCUCCUUCCCCUAGUCAAUGAAAUUGAUCUGCCCGUGCAGAAGCGGACAUAAAUACAUAAGACGAGAAGACCCUAUGGAGCUUUAGACAAAAGAUCAAACAUGUAAAGAAACCAAAAACCCAAAAGGAACACAAAGACCGUAAAACCAGACGUAAACUGAUCCAAAUGUCUUCGGUUGGGGCGACCAUGGGGGAAAGAAAAACCCCCACGAGGAACAGGGAAUACCCCUAAACUUAGAGAGACACCUCCAAGUAACAGAAAAUCUGACCAAAAAUGACCCAGGAUAUUAAUCCUGAUCAACGAACCAAGUUACCCUAGGGAUAACAGCGCAAUCCUUUCCCAGAGUCCAUAUCGACGAAAGGGUUUACGACCUCGAUGUUGGAUCAGGACAUCCUAAUGG
rnacentral:rRNA from 1 species